rnacentral:rRNA from 1 species
AGUGAACGCUGGCGGUAGGCCUAACACAUGCAAGUCGAACGGCAGCACAGUAAGAGCUUGCUCUUACGGGUGGCGAGUGGCGGACGGGUGAGGAAUACAUCGGAAUCUACUUUUUCGUGGGGGAUAACGUAGGGAAACUUACGCUAAUACCGCAUACGACCUACGGGUGAAAGCAGGGGAUCUUCGGACCUUGCGCGAUUGAAUGAGCCGAUGUCGGAUUAGCUAGUUGGCGGGGUAAAGGCCCACCAAGGCGACAAUCCGUAGCUGGUCUGAGAGGAUGAUCAGCCACACUGGAACUGAGGCACGGGCCAGACUCCUACGGGAGGCAGCAGUGGGGAAUAUUGGACAAUGGGCGCAAGCCUGAUCCAGCCAUACCGCGUGGGUGAAGAAGGCCUUCGGGUUGUAAAGCCCUUUUGUUGGGAAAGAAAAGCAGCAGGUUAAUACCCCGCUGUUCUGACGGUACCCAAAGAAUAAGCACCGGCUAACUUCGUG